rnacentral:rRNA from 1 species
GAUGAACGCUAGCGGCAGGCUUAACACAUGCAAGUCGAGGGGUAACAUUGUAGCUUGCUACAGAUGACGACCGGCGCACGGGUGCGUAACGCGUAUGAAACCUACCUUAUACAGGGAGAUAGCCCAGAGAAAUUUGGAUUAAUAUCCCAUAGUACUGAUAGUUCACAUGAAUUAUUAGUUAAAGAUUUAUCGGUAUAAGAUGGUCAUGCGUUCUAUUAGUUAGUUGGUAAGGUAACGGCUUACCAAGACCGCGAUAGAUAGGGGCCCUGAGAGGGGGAUCCCCCACACUGGUACUGAGACACGGACCAG